rfam:Oryza glaberrima chromosome 12 Oglab12_0198_19, whole genome shotgun sequence.
UAUAAGGGAUUUUGAGUUUUUACUUGUACUGUUUGAACACUCGUCUUAUUAAAAAAAUUUAAAAUUAUUAUUUAUUUUUUACUUACUUUAUCAUCCAUAGUAAUUUAAGCAUAACUUUUCGUUUUUUAUAUUUGCACAAAUUUUUUUAAUAAGACGAGUGGUCAAACAGUGCAAGCAAAAACUCAAAAUCGCUUGUAUU